GACGAACGCUGGCGGCGUGCUUAACACAUGCAAGUCGAACGAAGAGCGAUUGAGGCUUGCUUCUAUCGGUCUUCGUGGCGCACGGGUGUGUAACGCGUAAUCAACCUGACCUUUAGGGGGGGACAACCGUUGGAAACGACUCCUAAUUCCGCCUACGGUCUAAUCUCGGCAUCGAGGAUAGAUGAAAGGUGGCCUCUACAUGUAAGCUCUCACUGGAGGUGGGGAUUGGGUCUGAUUAGCUAGUUGGAGGGGUAACGGCCCACCAAGGCGAUGAUCAGUAGGCGGUCUGAGAGGAUGAACGGGCACAUUGGGACUGAGACACGGCCCAGACUCCUACGGGAGGCAGCAGGGGGGAAACUUCCGCCAUGGACGGAAGUCUGACGGAGCAACGCCGGGGGAGGGAUGACGGCCUUCGGGGUGUAAAGGUCUGUUAAUCGGGACGAAAGGCCUUCUUGCUAACAGUUAGAAGGAUUGACGGUACCGGAAUAGAAAGCCACGGCUAACUACGUG
rnacentral:rRNA from 1 species